rnacentral:rRNA from 1 species
CUUACCAACGAUUGUAGCCUUAUCAGUAAUAUAAUUAAUUUUAUAGUUAAGUGGUAUGGCGCGGUAUUGCAUGGCUGUCGUCAGUUCGUGCUGUAGAGUUUAGGAUUAAGUUUUUUUAAACGAAUGCAACCCUAUAAAAAAGUAUUUAGUUAAUUAAUUACAUUUUAAUUGUACUAUUCUUUUUUAAUCUAUGAUUGAUUACUGAUAAAUCUAUUUUUCACUAUCAAUUAUAGGGGUUUUAGGCUGAAGUCAAGUCCCUAUGGUCUCUAUACGUUGGGCUACACACGUGUUACAAGGAUAAAAACAAAGAGACGCUAAAAUUUAAUUUUAAGCAAAUCUCUAAAAAUUAUCUUAGUUCAGAUUGUCUCAUGAAAUUCUGAGGCAUGAAGAUGAAAUCGUUAGUAAUUGUAAAUUAUAAUGUUACAGUGAAUUAAUUGUCAAAUUUU